GAAUCUGCCUUCAGGUCGGGGACAACCACUGGAAACGGUGGCUAAUACCGGAUGUGCCGAAAGGUGAAACAGUUAAUUCUGCCUGAAGGUGAGCUCGCGUCUGAUUAGCUAGUUGGAGUGGUAAAGGCACACCAAGGCAUUGAUCAGUAGCUGGUCUGAGAGGAUGAUCAGCCACACUGGGACUGAGACACGGCCCAGACUCCUACGGGAGGCAGCAGUGGGGAAUUUUCCGCAAUGGGCGAAAGCCUGACGGAGCAAGACCGCGUGAGGGAGGAAGGCUCUUGGGUUGUAAACCUCUUUUCUCAGGGAAGAACAAAAUGACGGUACCUGAGGAAUCAGCCUCGGCUAACUCCGUGCCAGCAGCCGCGGUAAUACGGAGGAGGCAAGCGUUAUCCGGAAUUAUUGGGCGUAAAGCGUCCGUAGGUGGCAGUUCAAGUCCAUUGUCAAAGCGUGGAGCUUAACUCCAUAAAGGCAGUGGAAACUGAAUCGCUGGAGUGCGACAGGGGCAAGGGGAAUUCCUAGUGUAGCGGUGAAAUGCGUAGAGGUUAGGAAGAACACCGGUGGCGAAAGCGCCUUGCUGGGUCUGCACUGACACUGAUGGACGAAAGCUAGGGGAGCG
rnacentral:rRNA from 1 species